CGCGCACAGGAUGCUGAGGUAGAGGAGACGCGCGUGCACCAGAUGGAGCUGCUGCGUGGGCUGUGCAUUCCCGCGGUGACGUAUCUGCUGCACGCUGUGCUGAGCGGCACGGGGCAGCACCGCGAGUGUCUACAGCUAGCCGACGUCGUCGCCUCCGACAAUCACCAGCUGUACAAGGUAUUCCAGAAGGAGGAACUUCGGAGGUUCCUGGAGAAGAUGCGGGAUAGCUCGGUGGCGCUGAUGGAACAGGGUAUGGAUCCCCAGGGAUACGAACCGUCCCGGUGAAACCGAGCGUGUGGUAAAAACCGACAAGAACAAUAACAACAAAAACAACCUGCAGGUGGCGCCACGACACGGACGUGCUUGUGUAAUUAUCGCACAUGUAGGCAAGAUUUCUGCGCGAUGUGGAGAUGCAAUGAAAAUGCAGUAAAAAAAAAAGGCAACCAUUGCAUUUCUGCACCUCAGCGCUCGAAGAUAUCCUCUAGCUGUUCAUUAUUGUUCGGUCUAACGUGUAAGUCUAGUGUAUCUACCAGGGAGCCAAAGACCAAGAGGCCUGGAUGGGCACGACACAUCAUACAUGGCAGCCGAUAUAUUGCUGACUCGGCUACAAAGCGUUUUUGCCUCUCGUGGUUUUGGCGGCAUGUGGGGGCUGGACAUCAGCAAUCGUAACGACUAUUGUGAAAAGUAUCGGUUUGUUUAGGAAUUCCCGUCGGGCCUGACCGCAAUUCUCCCGCAAACAUCUAAACAUCGCGGUUACUGUGAAGCAUCGCGAGCGAUCUUUACACGCCGGCCAGCUGGGUAGCACCAGAGUCGCGUCACUGCACUAGGUAUCUUAGAUAUGGUGUACCCUUUGUGAAGUUGGCGGGAAUGGAUAAUUAUUUUACUGUGCGCUUAUUAUUUACUCCGUAUGUCAGAGCGUAAGCUGUGUUAUGCACGAGAAAAUAAACUAUACGUACAGUCUGUGUACACUUUAUAUCAUCUUAGAUUAUCAUGUGGUAGCUUUUUUCAUGCCCGCUUAUGUGACCACGUGUAAUUCUGUGUAUCUCAAUAAAGGCAAUUGCUAUGUGUUCGUAUAUAUA